UACGGGGGGGGCAAGCGUUGUUCGGAAUUACUGGGCGUAAAGGGCUCGUAGGCGGCCAACUAAGUCAGACGUGAAAUCCCUCGGCUUAACCGGGGAACGGCGUCUGAUACUGGAUGGCUUGAAUCCGGGAGAGGGAUGCGGAAUUCCAGGUGUAGCGGUGAAAUGCGUAGAUAUCGGAAGGAACAUCAGUGGCGAAAGCGACUUCCUGGACCAGUACCGACGUUCAGGCACGAAAGCGUGGGGAGCAAACAGG
rnacentral:rRNA from 1 species